rnacentral:rRNA from 1 species
GACGAACGCUGGCGGCGUGCCUAAUACAUGCAAGUCGAGCGAAUCAACAGGAGCUUGCUCCUGUUGAUUAGCGGCGGACGGGUGAGUAACACGUGGGCAACCUGCCUGUAAGACUGGGAUAACACCGGGAAACCGGUGCUAAUACCGGAUAAUCUUUUUCCUCUCAUGAGGAAAAACUGAAAGUCGGUUUCGGCUGACACUUACAGAUGGGCCCGCGGCGCAUUAGCUAGUUGGUGAGGUAACGGCUCACCAAGGCGACGAUGCGUAGCCGACCUGAGAGGGUGAUCGGCCACACUGGGACUGAGACACGGCCCAGACUCCUACGGGAGGCGGCAGUAGGGAAUCUUCCACAAUGGACGAAAGUCUGAUGGAGCAACGCCGCGUGAGCGAUGAAGGCCUUCGGGUCGUAAAGCUCUGUUGUUAGGGAAGAACAGGUACCGGAGUAACUGCCGGUACCUUGACGGUACCUAACCAGAAAGCCACGGCUAACUACGUGCCAGCAGCCGCAGUAA